GGGAAAAUCGUACCGUGUCUUUUAAGUGGCCGUUUUUAGUUUCCAGUGAAUUUAUGAUUGCACCUCAUAUAUUUAAUAUCUUAUUAGCUAGACAAGAAUUUUAAUGUUAACAGUUUUGUUGGAUUCAGUUUUGGAUAUGUUUGUGGUGCUAUUAUUGACCUAUCAUUGUUUACUUUCAACAACUCCUUGUUCUUCGUCGCUGAUCUUGAAAGCAUUUAUUCUUUAGUGAAUAUUUGCAGAGCCUUUUGCUUUUGUUUAUCUCUAUUGCUCUUGUUGACGUUUAAUUACCAAUCAAGAAUUUCAAUUUCAACUGUUUUUCUUAAAACUCAUUAUUACAAUUGUGUUUGCCUUUUGGCCACAAAAACACAAGCUAGCGAAACAUACUUUACUCACGUGAUUUAUUUUCUCAAGCAACUUCUGAUUAUUAACCAUUCAUUUCAAACUACGGGAAAGUAUUAAACUGUGCGUUUAUGUUUCCCUUACAAACUUUAAAUAUGAGAAAGGAAUUGCAGGUUUGUGAGAAAGAUGCAAAAAAAACAAGGAUUAUUGUUAAUAUAAUAUGUUGCAUUAGCAGAUAUGCAAAUUAUUGCUCAAUGAGCCUAAUCCUUAGAUUGUGCUGCAUGUGGAAUUGUUUUUUUUUUGCAUCUUUCUUAAUCAUUGUUAUAUUCAACCUGGUUGAACCAACCAAUCUUCUAACGUAAAUUGUAAAAAUUUCAGGUUAGAUGCUUGUAUCUGAAGAGUACCAUGGGAAAAUCGUACCGUGUCUUUUAAGUGGCCGUUUUUAGUUUCCAGUGAAUUUAUGAUUGCACCUCAUAUAUUUAAUAUCUUAUUAGCUAGACAAGAAUUUUAAUGUUAACAGUUUUGUUGGAUUCAGUUUUGGAUAUGUUUGUGGUGCUAUUAUUGACCUAUCAUUGUUUACUUUCAACAACUCCUUGUUCUUCGUCGCUGAUCUUGAAAGCAUUUAUUCUUUAGUGAAUAUUUGCAGAGCCUUUUGCUUUUGUUUAUCUCUAUUGCUCUUGUUGACGUUUAAUUACCAAUCAAGAAUUUCAAUUUCAAC
rnacentral:lncRNA from 1 species